UAAUACGUAGGAUCCAAGCGUUGUCCGGAUUUACUGGGUGUAAAGGGUGCGUAGGCGGACUUUUAAGUCGAAGGUUAAAGAUCACAGCUCAACUGUGGGAAUGCCCUCGAAACUGAAAGUCUUGAAUAUGAGAGAGGUAGGUAGAAUUCCUGGUGUAGCGGUGAAAUGCGUAGAUAUCAGGAGGAAUACCAGUGGCGAAGGCGGCCUACUGGCUCAUUAUUGACGCUGAGGCACGAAAGUGUGGGUAGCGAACAGG
rnacentral:rRNA from 1 species